CAUUCCCACAGUUGGAUGGAUAGGUUGGAUAACAGAAUUGGAUUUUUUUUUAAGAAAUCCAAAGUUGCUUUUAUUUUUUAAAUUGUUUUUGCUAAUGUAAGAACAGAAUCAAGACAGCAGCUCAGCUCUAUAACCCGCCCACCCCAAGAUUGUUCUACUGGUGGAGCCAAGAACAGUAUCCCCAUUACUGAAAGUGAAGACUGGCAAGUAGCAAAUAUUUGACAAAUGUAUAACAAAAUAUAAAGGUAACCAAUGUUUCUGAAACUUAGAGAAUGAAGAUCAGAAGGAAUAGUGGGAGACAUAUGGAAGAAGAACAAAGGCAAUGAGAAGCCACUCCAUGACUUGAAGAAGACCUAUGACAUUAACUGAGUUAGAGUGACUGUGCUCCCUCUGAGUAGAAAAUGAACAAGCACCAGUAACAGAACUUGGAUAACUUAGUGCCCUGGGAAAUAUAGUUGAAUAAAUGACCAGAAGGCUAUGAAUUUUUAACUUGUCUUGCCUAUGGAGAAGAAGACUUACACCUUUUGAUAUGGAAGAAAGGAGCUAGCUUCAAGAAUAUAGAGCUGAUAAUGACUUUGAUGUUACAAGAUACACCAACAUACAACUGGAUAGAUAGAAAAACAUAACGAAAGAAUUUCUACCACUUGUGCUAUAAAUACAACAAAGAAAGGAAUGAUCAGAAUUUUUUUUUAAAUAUCCAGAAGUAGACCAUACCCAAGAUCUACUAGAACACAAUGUGCAAUUAUAUUUUGUUGUUGAAAUAGAGUAAAA
rnacentral:lncRNA from 1 species